rnacentral:rRNA from 1 species
GACGAACGCUGGCGGCGUGCUUAACACAUGCAAGUCGAACGGAAAGGCCCUGCUUUUGUGGGGUGCUCGAGUGGCGAACGGGUGAGUAACACGUGAGUAACCUGCCCUUGACUUUGGGAUAACUUCAGGAAACUGGGGCUAAUACCGGAUAGGAGCUCCUGCUGCAUGGUGGGGGUUGGAAAGUUUCGGCGGUUGGGGAUGGACUCGCGGCUUAUCAGCUUGUUGGUGGGGUAGUGGCUUACCAAGGCUUUGACGGGUAGCCGGCCUGAGAGGGUGACCGGCCACAUUGGGACUGAAAUACGGCCCAGACUCCUACGGGGGGCAGCAGGGGGGAAUAUUGCACAAUGGGCGGAAGCCUGAUGCAGCAACGCCGCGGGGGGGAGGACGGCCUUCGGGUUUGAAACCGCUUUCGCCUGUGACGAAGCGGGAGGGACGGUAAUGGGUAAAAAAACACCGGCUAACUACGGG